AAUGCUCAGUAACACGUGGAUAAUCUACCCUCAGGUGGGGGAUAAACCCGGGAAAAUGGGGGUAAUUCCCCAUAAAUACAGAUCGCUGGAAUGGUUCUGUAUUCAAAGCUCCGGGGCCUGAGGAUGGGUCUGGGGGCUAUCAGGUUGUAGUCAGGGGUCAAGAACUGAAUAGCCAGCGAAGGGUAUGGGGUGUGAGAACACUUGGCCAGAGAUGGGUUCUGAGAAACGAAACCAGGCCCUACGGGGGCGCAGCAGGGGCGAAAACUUCGCAAUGGGGGAAAACGUGACGAGGGAACUCCAAGUGUCUAUGCAUUGGAUAGAAUGGUUUUUAGCCUAAAUAGCUAUUAGAGUAAGGGGGUGGGCAAGACCGGGUGGCCAGCCGGCCGCGGUAACACCGGGCACCUCGAGUGGUAGCCACUAUUAUUGGGCCUAAAGCGUUCGUAGCCGGUUUGGUAAAUUCUUGGGUAAAUCGUACCGCUUAACGGUGCGGAUUCCGGGGACACUACCAGACUUGAGACCGGGGGAGAUCAGAGGUACUUGCGGGGGAGCGGUGAAAUGUUGUAAUCCCGCAGGGACCACCAGUGGCGAAGGCGUCUGAUCAGAACGGCUCUGACGGUGAGGAACGAAACCCUGGGGCGCAAACGGGAUUAGAUACCCCGGUAGUCCAGGGCGUAAACGCUGCUGACUUGGUGUUGGGGAUCCUACGAGGAUGUCCAGUGCUGGCGCGAAGGUAUUAAGUCAGCCGCCUGGGGAGUACGGUCGCAAGACUGAAACUUAAAGGAAUUGGCGGGGGAGCAC
rnacentral:rRNA from 1 species